UGGCUCAGAUGGUAAAGCAUCUGCCUGAAAUGCAGAAGACCAGAGUUCAAUCCCUG
rnacentral:tRNA from 1 species